ensembl:lncRNA
GGAAAAGAGAUUUUAAAUCUCAAUGAAACAUUUAUCUGGUUAAAUACAGGGUUAACAAAACAAAAACAAAAAACAUAUAUAUAUAUAUAUACAGUAUAUAUAUAUAUGCAAGAUUGUAUGUAUUUUAUCCCCUUGCCAUGUAUUUUUAAUAAAAAUAAAUCAUAGUUAUUUGCAAUUAUAUGAUUACGUGCAAUGCAUGUAAUCAACAUCUUUUAUCGUACAACUGUAGAAUAUAUUACAGCUAUAUUGUCUAGCCUGGGCCUGAAGUGUAAUUUUAGCCUCACCUCAGAGAAAUUAUAACCAUUAUAAAUAUUAUUUAGUAAAACCAUUGUAUUUGUGGAACACAUUAGCGUAUUCUUUGUUUUAGCAGUCUGCGGUACGCCUUUGAUGCAGGUGUGAGUACCAGAUGUGUUCGGCUGCCAGAUCGGCUCGGGGGUCCUAGAGGCGCAAUAAUGACGCACUUCCUGUAAACAAUGUCAUUAAAUGCACAUGUGCGUCACUCAGUAGCCGGUGUGUCAGCGAUAUUUAAAUGUAUUCAUUGCUAAGAAGUAAGUAGUUAUUUAGCUGUUGAUAAACAGCUUUUUCAAUGAUUUUGCUUAAAAAUUGUAAGUUAGAUAUGGGCCCAUAAUUGUUCAUGAGUGAUGUUUCUAUGUUGUUCUUUUCUUAGAAGUGACUUGAUGACUGUUGAUGACUGUUGUUUUUAACAUGCCUUGAUUUCAUAAAUCUACAAGUAAGUAAAUUAAUUGCUAAGCAAAUGUAUAGAAUAAAUCAUACAAAAGUCAUACGAUUGCUUAAAAUAAUACCUCAAAUGGUAUUGGAAUUCAAAUGUAUUUAAUCAGUCCUUCAAAAGUCUUAAAAAUGCCAGUACAUUGGGAUUGGGAUUUUGUCAGAUAUUUUUUUCUCAUGUUGUUAUUUAUAAAUCCCCAAAUAAUUUAAGCAGAAGCAUCCAUCAGUCAAAAAUGCAUCUCACAUUUGCACCUUAGUAAUCUAUGACUACAACAAGAUUUCUGUCGUGGUGUGUGCUUUCUAACAUAACAGCUGUGCACUGACUUUUAAUUGUUCAUCCCUUUCACCAAGGACCAUUACUUCAGUUUUUUCCUUGUUCAAUUUAAGACAAUUUUGGCACAUCCAGUGAUUGAAGUAGUUAUUUAGCUGUUGAUAAACAGCUUUUUCAAUGAUUUUGCUUAAAAAUGGUAAGUUAGAUAUGGCUUGAUGACUGUUGUUUUCAGAGCCUGUGGGAAUACACCUGUGCGAUGUCGCUACUGCAGGCCACAUGAAUAAAAAAAUAUAUAAUAAUAUACAAAUAUGUCAGUGUGUGUGCCCGUGUGUGUAUCCAAACACAUACACUGCAAUUCGCAUACACACAUACAGCUCAAUGUAAAACCAUGAAAACAUCAUGUUCUGAUCCCACAGCCAAUUGAGGAUAUAUUCAUGAAUGUGGCAACACAUUAUAUACAUUCUUAAUAUAGGCCUACCUUGAAAGUUUUACUAUUUUACAGAUGUUUGUUAAAUUAUAGAGCAAAGAUACCUGGAGAGGAAAUGAUUUUUUUUAUUGUUAUUAGUUGUAUAGGCAAGGAUAAAAUUCAUUGAACAUCUGGAAAAUCAUAAAAAAAAAUCAAUUUUCAAGGAAUAGGAUAAAUAUCGAAUAUGAAUACAUUCAUGAAUUCAUCCUCAAAUCACCAUGGGAUCUAAACAUGCCGUUUUUUUAUUGAUUUACAUUAAGCAGUUCCUCAGUUG